UCGCUGAGAAAGGCAACAUUGCAUUGUUGCAAUGUUGCCUGCAAUGUUGCCUCUCUCGCUGU
ensembl:miRNA gmo-mir-11269 gmo-mir-11269